CAGGCUUAACACAUGCAAGUCGAGGGGCAGCAUGGUCUUAGCUUGCUAAGACUGAUGGCGACCGGCGCACGGGUGAGUAACACGUAUCCAACCUGCCGUCUACUCUUGGACAGCCUUCUGAAAGGAAGAUUAAUACAAGAUGGCAUCAUGAGUCCGCAUGUUCACAUGAUUAAAGGUAUUCCGGUAGACGAUGGGGAUGCGUUCCAUUAGAUAGUAGGCGGGGUAACGGCCCACCUAGUCUUCGAUGGAUAGGGGUUCUGAGAGGAAGGUCCCCCACAUUGGAACUGAGACACGGUCCAAACUCCUACGGGAGGCAGCAGUGAGGAAUAUUGGUCAAUGGGCGAGAGCCUGAACCAGCCAAGUAGCGUGAAGGAUGACUGCCCUAUGGGUUGUAAACUUCUUUUAUAAAGGAAUAAAGUCGGGUAUGCAUACCCGUUUGCAUGUACUUUAUGAAUAAGGAUCGGCUAACUCCGUGCCAGCAGCCGCGGUAAUACGGAGGAUCCGAGCGUUAUCCGGAUUUAUUGGGUUUAAAGGGAGCGUAGAUGGAUGUUUAAGUCAGUUGUGAAAGUUUGCGGCUCAACCGUAAAAUUGCAGUUGAUACUGGAUAUCUUGAGUGCAGUUGAGGCAGGCGGAAUUCGUGGUGUAGCGGUGAAAUACUUAGAUAUCACGAAGAACUCCGAUUGCGAAGGCAGCCUGCUAAGCUGCAACUGACAUUGAGGCUCGAAAGUGUGGGUAUCAAACAGGAUUAGAUACCCUGGUAGUCCACACGGUAAACGAUGAAUACUCGCUGUUUGCGAUAUACUGCAAGCGGCCAAGCGAAAGCGUUAAGUAUUCCACCUGGGGAGUACGCCGGCAACGGUGAAACUCAAAGGAAUUGACGGGGGCCCGCACAAGCGGAGGAACAUGUGGUUUAAUUCGAUGAUACGCGAGGAACCUUACCCGGGCUUAAAUUGCAGAUGAAUUACGGUGAAAGCCGUAAGCCGCAAGGCAUCUGUGAAGGUGCUGCAUGGUUGUCGUCAGCUCGUGCCGUGAGGUGUCGGCUUAAGUGCCAUAACGAGCGCAACCCUUGUUGUCAGUUACUAACAGGUUCCGCUGAGGACUCUGACAAGACUGCCAUCGUAAGAUGUGAGGAAGGUGGGGAUGACGUCAAAUCAGCACGGCCCUUACGUCCGGGGCUACACACGUGUUACAAUGGGGGGUACAGAGGGCCGCUACCACGCGAGUGGAUGCCAAUCCCCAAAACCUCUCUCAGUUCGGACUGGAGUCUGCAACCCGACUCCACGAAGCUGGAUUCGCUAGUAAUCGCGCAUCAGCCACGGCGCGGUGAAUACGUUCCCGGGCCUUGUACACACCGCCCGUCAAGCCAUGGGAGCCGGGGGUACCUGAAGUGCGUAACCGCGAGGAGCGCCCUAGGGUAAAACUGGUGACUGGGGCUAAGUC
rnacentral:rRNA from 1 species